UACAGAGGUCCCAAGCGUUGUUCGGAUUCACUGGGCGUAAAGGGUGCGUAGGUGGUCGGGUAAGUCUGAUGUGAAAUCUCCGGGCCUAACCCGGAAACUGCAUCGGAUACUGCCGUGCUUGAGGACUGGAGAGGAGACUGGAAUUUACGGUGUAGCGGUGAAAUGCGUAGAUAUCGUAAGGAAGACCAGUGGCGAAGGCGGGUCUCUGGACAGUUCCUGACGCUGAGGCACGAAGGCCAGGGGAGCAAACGGG
rnacentral:rRNA from 1 species